rnacentral:rRNA from 1 species
UAGGGAAUCUUCGGCAAUGGACGAAAGUCUGACCGAGCAACGCCGCGGGAGUGAAGAAGGUUUUCGGAUCGUAAAACUCUGUUGUUAGAGAAGAACAAGGACGUUAGUAACUGAACGUCCCCUGACGGUAUCUAACCAGAAAGCCACGGCUAACUACGUGCCAGCAGCCGCGGUAAUACGUAGGUGGCAAGCGUUGUCCGGAUUUAUUGGGCGUAAAGCGAGCGCAGGCGGUUUCUUAAGUCUGAUGUUAAAGCCCCCGGCUCAACCGGGGAGGGUCAUUGGAAACUGGGAGACUUGAGUGCAGAAGAGGAGAGUGGAAUUCCAUGUGUAGCGGUGAAAUGCGUAGAUAUAUGGAGGAACACCAGUGGCGAAGGCGGCUCUCUGGUCUGUAACUGACGCUGAGGCUCGAAAGCGUGGGGAGCAAACAGG